rnacentral:ncRNA from 1 species
GCUUGCGGACGACCGAAAGUCGCUUGGCCUUUUUUGGGGACGACCCCG